CAAAAACAUCUCUUUUUGACACAUAAAAAGUACCGUCUGCUCAAUGCAAUUUGUAAAUAGCCGCAGUAUUCUGACUGUGCUAAGGUAGCAUAAUCAUUAGUCUUUUAAUUGAAGGCUGGUAUGAAUGACGAGACGAGAAAAUAGCUGUCUCUAAAAUAAAUCUUGAAUUUUAUUUCUAAGUGAAAAAGCUUAGAUAAUUUUAAAGGACGAUCAGACCCUUUGGAGCUUUAUUUAUUUUAAAUUUUAAUUUAUUUUAGAUUAUUGAAUGAAUAAUAAAUUUUGUUGGGGCGACAGAGAGUAAUAAAUACCACUCUUUUUUUUAAACAAUUAUAAUUGAAAAAUUGAUCCUUAAAGUAAGAUUAAAAGACUAAGUUACCCUAGGGAUAACAGCGUAAUCUUCUUGGAGAGUUCAAAUCGAUAAGAAGGUUUGCGACCUCGAUGUUGGAUUAAGAGAUUGACAAGGUGCAGAAGUUUUGUUGGAAAGUCUGUUCGACUUUUAAUUUCUUACAUGAUCUGU
rnacentral:rRNA from 1 species